rnacentral:rRNA from 1 species
GGAAUAUUGGACAAUGGGGGCAACCCUGAUCCAGCAAUGCCGCGUGUGUGAAGAAGGCCUGCGGGUUGUAAAGCACUUUUGUGGGGGAAGAGGGUUGGAGCGUUAAUAGCGCGAUCAUCUGACGGUACCCCGCGGAUAAGCACCGGCCAACUCCGUGCCAGCAGCCGCGGUAAUACGGAGGGUGCGAGCGUUAAUCGGAAUUACUGGGCGUAAAGCGCGCGUAGGCGGCUGAUCAAGUCCGAUGUGAAAGCCCCGGGCUCAACCCGGGAAUGGCGUUGGAGACUGGUCGGCUGGAGUGCGACAGAGGGUGGUGGAAUUCCCGGUGUAGCGGUGAAAUGCGUAGAGAUCGGGAGGAACAUCGAUGGCGAAGGCAACCGCCUGGGUCGACACUGACGCUGAGGUGCGAAAGCGUGGGGAGCA